rnacentral:rRNA from 1 species
UCGGAGCUUCUAUAAGGAGUGACGGCGUGCCUUUUGCAUAAUGAACCUACGAGUUACUCUUGCCGGCGAGGCUAAGGGCUUCAGGCCCGGAUCCGAAGCGAAAGCGAGUCUGAAUAGGGCGUCAUAGUCAGCAGGAGUAGACGCGAAACCAAGUGAUCUACCCAUGAGCAGGUUGAAGGUUGGGUAACACCAACUGGAGGACCGCACCGGUAAACGUUGAAAAGUUUUCGGAUGACUUGUGGGUAGGGGUGAAAGGCUAAUCAAACUUGGAGAUAGCUCGUACUCCCCGAAAUGCAUUUAGGUGCAGCCUUCUGACUAUAUUUAAGAGGUAGAGCGACUGAUAAGAUGCGAGGGCUUCACCGCCUAUCAAGUCUUGAUAAACUCCGAAUGCUUAAAUAAGAAUCAGAGGAGUGAGGGCAUGGGUGCUAAGGUCCAUGUCCGAGAGGGAAAUAACCCAGACCACCAGCUAAGGUCCCGAAAUAACGGCUAAGUUGAAUUAACGAAGUAGAACUGCAGAGACAGCUAGGAUGUUGGCUUGGAAGCAGCCAUUCAUUUAAAGAGUGCGUAACAGCUCACUAGUCGAGGAGUUCUGCGUGGAUAAUAAUCGGGCAUAAGCCGUUUACCGAAGCUGUGGAAUCGGCAACGAUUGGUAGGGGAGCAUUCCAUGAGCCGCAGAAGGUUUUCCUUGAGGAAUGCUGGAGGUAAUGGAAAAGCAAAUGUAGGUAUAAGUAACGAUAAAGAGGGCGAGAACCCCUCUCGCCGAAAGACCAAGGGUUCCUGAUCAACGCUAAUCGGAUCAGGGUAAGUCGGGCCCUAAGGCCAAGCCGAACGGCGCAGCCGAUGGCAGAAACGGUUAAUAUUCCGUUACUAUGAUACGGAGUGACGAGGAGACGGAGAAGUGACACUCUCGCCUGCUGACGGAAUAGCAGGUUGAACGGAGUAGAUAAUGACAUGGUAGGCAAAUCCGCCGUGGCAGUCGAACCGGAUAGUACUGGGCGCCCCCGGGCAACCAGAUAGCAGAGGUAAUCAGGCUCCCGAGAAAAUCCCCUAAACAUAUGCGUAUCAUACCCGUACCCUAAACGGACACACGUGGUUGAGUAGAAAAUACUAAGGCGCUCGAGCGACUCACGGUUAAGGAACUAGGCAAAUUGACCCUGUAACUUCGGGACAAAGGGUCCCUCCCUGGUGGGAGGGCGCAGAGAAUAGGUCCAGGCAACUGUUUAACAAAAACACAGGGCUGUGCGAAAUUGCAAGAUGAAGUAUACAGCCUGACACCUGCCCGGUGCUGGAAGGUUAAGAGGAGAUGUCAUCGCAAGAGAAGCGUUGAAUUGAAGCCCCAGUAAACGGCGGCCGUAACUAUAACGGUCCUAAGGUAGCGAAAUUCCUUGUCGGGUAAGUUCCGACCUGCACGAAUGGUGUAAUGAUCUGGACACUGUCUCAA